rnacentral:rRNA from 1 species
UACGAAGGGGGCUAGCGUUGUUCGGAAUUACUGGGCGUAAAGCGCACGUAGGCGGCUUUUUAAGUCAGGGGUGAAAUCCUGGAGCUCAACUCCAGAACUGCCUUUGAUACUGAGAAGCUUGAGUCCGGGAGAGGUGAGUGGAACUGCGAGUGUAGAGGUGAAAUUCGUAGAUAUUCGCAAGAACACCAGUGGCGAAGGCGGCUCACUGGCCCGGUACUGACGCUGAGGUGCGAAAGCGUGGGGAGCAAACAGGG